rnacentral:tRNA from 1 species
GGGGAAGUAGCUCAGUGGUAGAGCACUUGUCUAGUAUUCAUGAAACCCCAGGUUCGGGGGCCUGCAUCACCA